rnacentral:misc_RNA from 1 species
GAUGAAGAACGCAGCGAAAUGCGAUAAGUAAUGUGAAUUGCAGAAUUCAGUGAAUCAUCGAAUCUUUGAACGCACAUUGCGCCCGCCAGUAUUCUGGCGGGCAUGCCUGUUCGAGCGUCAUUUCAACCAUCAAGCCCCCGGCUUGUGUUGGGGACCUGCGGCUGCCGCAGGCCCUGAAAACCAGUGGCGGGCUCGCUAGUCACUCCGAGCGUAGUAAUACAUCUCGCUCAGGGCGUGCUGCGGGUUCCGGCCGUUAAAAAGCCUUAUUUACCCAAGGUUGACCUCGGAUCAGGUAGGAAGACCCGCUGAACUUAAGCAUAUCAAUAACGGAGA